GUAGGUGAACCUGCGGAAGGAUCAUUAUUGAAUACGUUUGGUUCUGAUGCUGGCCCCGUAACACGGGCAUGUGCUCGUCCAUCCUAUUUAUCUUCUCUUGUGCACCUUUUGUAGUUUUUGAAAGGAAGUGAACCUCUCGCAGCAAUGCGGUUUGGGGGAGUGGGCGCAAGCCCUUCCUCUGCUUGCUUUCAUUCAAAGGCUAUGUUUUCAUAUACACUAUAAAGUUACAGAAUGUCUUUUAAAGAUUGUGCUAGUCGCAGUCAUUAAACCUAUACAACUUUCAGCAACGGAUCUCUUGGCUCUC
rnacentral:misc_RNA from 1 species